rnacentral:lncRNA from 1 species
GGGGAUAGUAGAAGAUAGGAAAGGCAGCAGAAUACAACAGACACUAGUAUAGCAAUAUGUAAAACUGGAUGUGUAACCGAUGUGAUGCUGCAAUCUGUAUAGGGGUAAAAAUGGGAGUUCAUAACCCACUUGAAUCAAAGUGUGAAAUAUGAUAUGUCAAGAACUAUGUAAUGUUUUGAACAACCAACAAUAAAAAUUAAAGGAAAAAAAAGUUAAGAAAUAAUAGUCCAGAAAAUCCUUUGAAAAUCAAAUGUCUUUUUUGAGUUAUUUACCAUAUUUUAUUUUUUUAAACAUUUUAUUUUUAAAUACAUGGCAGCAGAAUGCAUUACAAUUCUUAAUAUACAUAUAGAGCAAAAUUUUUCAUAUCUCUGUAUGUUAUUUUCCAUCUUGAAAAUAUACUUCAAGGUGGGAUUAUUCUUUGCUUUUCAUACUUUUCCUCAUAAUUCAUUUAUUUUCCUCUAUGAAGAUUUACAAGUAGUCUCUCUUUGAAAACUAUAAAAUAUCUAGGCCUAAACUUACUACAUAAUUUUUUUCAAGUCUAUUUAAAAAAUUAUGAAACAUAAUUGAAGGGCAUUUUAAGUUAUAAUUAAUUGAGCAACAGUGAAUAUAUGAAAGUUGUGCAAUAGGCGUAUUUCAUAUAUGUGUGUGUAUGUAUGUGUGUGUAUAUAUGUAUGGUUUUAUAUAGUGAUUAACAUAACCAAUUAACACAGCCAUCACUAACCAAUGCUGCACAUUAUAUCCCCAGAAAUUGUUCAUCAUAUAACUGAAAAUUUCUACCUUUGAUAAACAUUUCUGCUACCCCCUCUCCUUAGAGUUCUGUUUCUAUUAUCUGAUCUAUUCUGGUACAUAUACAAAAAAGUGUCUUGAAGAAAUAUCUGUGCCUGCAUGCUUAUUGGAACAUUAUUCAUAAUAGACAAGAUUUGAAAUAACCUCAGUGGAUGAAUGAAUACAGAAACUGAUACGUAGAUAAAGUUGAAAUGUUGUUUAGCCACAAAAAAAGUAGGAAUCAUUCCACUUGAGACAUCAUAGAUCAACCUGAAGGAUAUUAUGCUAAGUGAAAUAAGCUGCUGAGAGCCACGGCCGAGUCUGUAUGGCCCCUGGCAUUUUGCCAACAGUAUUGAUUGACAGGCGAGGCAUUACUAUCCGCCUCUGCCGCAACUUUUGAGUUCUCGCACUAUUUUGGAGUUCUCAUGGGGAUUUCCGGGGAUUCCCCGAGAGUUCCCAUUGGUUGGGGAAGUGCAGGAGGAGGGAUUUCCGGGAGAGAUAUUUCCGGCUGGGGGUUCCUGGACAAGCCUCCUGGCGCGUUCGGGAGGAUUCCCCGGGAGCUGUGUGAAGUGUUUUCCUGCAGUUUAAAAAUAAAGUUUGUUCCUGCUUCAGUGGCUCGUGAUUUGUGCCCAGCCAGACUGCGGCAUUUGGCGGCCCGUUCGGGGAACGUCUGAAGCUUCGGGGUAAGUGAAAUUGCUUGCCCCUAAGGGAAGGCGAGAGAAUGGGCGACCAUUUUAAAAAACAAUGUGUUCUUGUUUUGAUUUGUUUUGUGUUUGUUUCAAGCUGCCUAUCCCUAGAAUUUUCUCAGGCAGAUUGGGAAAAAUGGUUGGCUCAAGGUUUGAAGUUGUUCGCCCCUGAGGAAGAGAUAGAAAUAGACCACAAAUGCACAUG